CUUUAGCAAGGGAAUGAAGUUCUCCCUUAGUAAUACUAAAACCGCCAGGUGGAGCGUGCCUCCCCUGAUUGCUGAUGACUUCUGCUUUUUG
rnacentral:ncRNA from 2 species